GCAAAAUCUGCAGCAAGUUUGAGAAGUUUGAAACAGAAUAUUGUUACACGAGUAGCGCAGCUCCUUUUAGGAAUAGCUCAGUACGUAAGUUGUGUGCGGAGCGGGCGAGAGAGAGAGAGCGACGAGGCUGGCGACAGGAGCUGACAGUUGGCUAGUUAGUUAGCUAGUUAGUUAGCUAUUAGCAGUACAGCUGUGAAUGUAUGCCACUUCAGGCUGUUUUGUUGGCAAAUAAAUGCUGCGACUCAUCAAGACCCAAGUGCUUCCCCUCUGACAGUAUGAGCCAGGAAAGGUUACCAACACUGAGGCAGGAAAAUGCAGGAUUCUGCAUCGCAGCUGGAUGAUUUUUGUCAGGAAGGAGAACGGUGAAGGUGUCCAGGCAGAGAGCAGAGAGGAAGCACAAAAUCAUGAGACAGAACGGGCCCAGAAUCUAAGAGAGAUUUGCUGCUACCAAUGUCAUGAAAAGAUGUAUCAGGCAGGAGCCAAGCCCAACUGUGUAAAUCCACUCCAUCGCGGAUCAUUUACUCUCUAAAUCAUUAGGGGCGUCUGGAGACAGAGUUCCCCAGACAUGGACGGCAAGCCGACAGAACACAAACUUCAGGCAGGGUGCUGCCUCUUCAUCUGCGAGGAAAGCCAACCAAUCGCACGGCUCAGAUAGCUCUGACCACGCCACACUGUUACCUCAUCCACGCAUGAGCUGUUCCCUAA